UACAUGUCAACCAUCUAAAGAUAUAGGUGUGGCAUUUUAGACAUUUUUAUCUACGCCUGGUCUAUGAGCCUGUUCGCAUCCCUUUAGCUUUUUGGAAUCUUGAAACAUAAGUUCUCAACAAAUUAAAAAAAAAAGUAUUUGAGGCAUGAAGAUGUAAUAGAGAUGAGUUUAUGGAAACCCCCCCACCCCAAUGUCUUGUUUUUGUGUUUUUGUCAAUUGUAAUGAUUGAAUAGGGAUAUGAUGUUGUAGUGUGCGAUUUUUACCAGUUGCCUCUUGAAUAGAAAACAUUUGCUUGAUCUUGCAAUGCCUGAACAAAAUUUCUUGAGUUUACGGAAGCAAUAUACAAACAUGAGUUAUGCAGAGGAAUUUGUACCAUAGUGGAGAGAGAUCAUUAGCUGAAACUCCUUUGAAACAUCAAGAAAGUGGCAUUAUAUACAAAACAUCCGAUUCAAGCUAUAUCAAGAGAUACAAUGACGAAAAAGUUCCAACCGAAAUAUGUCAAUGAUAUUAACUACGGCUUAUCACCACUAAAGGUAAUUAUGGCAAAUCUUGAUAC